UUUCAACAAAAUCGACCCCAAACUGGCCGCAGCGGCCCCAACUGGUUACACUAAAAAAGUCACCGCGCUGAACAGACGUUUCUGUUUGGAGCAAAAAAUCGCGAGCGAUAUCGACGGCGGAGAAAUUGCCAAAAGUUGACAAACAAACACGUUUUAAUCCCACCACGUAGCAAUUAAAAGUAAAAACCAGAGAAAGAAAGUGAAACAUAAACAAAUAAGGUGCUGUAAAAAAAGAAAAGUGAACGGUAAACAAUAAUCCAUCAUUCACCAUUGUGUGUGCAGCAGAGGAGGAGAGAAGAAGAAGAUCAAGCAGCAACAACAGCAGCACGGAGAACAUUUACUGCGCCGCAGCUUUUUACCGUUGUAGUCGGCUCUCAUCAUCCAAAAAAAUUUGAGAACGAACACGAGGACAGUCAUCAAUUAAAAGCAAGGAGC